rnacentral:rRNA from 1 species
AUUGAACGCUGGCGGCAGGCCUAACACAUGCAAGUCGAGCGAGCGGCGGACGGGUGAGUAAUGUCGGGGAAACUGCCUGACGGAGGGGGAUAACUACUGGAAACGGUAGCUACUACCGCAUACCAUCCGAUUUGCCCAGAUGGGAUUAGCUAGUGGGUGGGGUAACGCCUCACCUAGGCGACGAUCACUAGCUGGUCUGAGAGGAUGACCAGCAACACUGGAACUGGGACACGGUCCAGACUCCUACGGGAGGAAGCAGUGGGGAAUAUUGCACAAUGGGCGCAAGCCUGAUGCAGCCAUGCCGCGUGUGUGAAGAAGGCCUUCGGGUUGUAAAGCACUUUCAGCGGGGAGGCGUUACCCGCAGAAGAAGCAACGGCUAACUCCGUGCCAGCAGCCGCGGUAAUAC